UUUUUUUUUUUUUUUUUGAGGUUUAUCAUUAGUCUGCUGACUUUGUUCAUGGUGGUGUUCAGCAUGCCAAAAAAAAUUUUUUUUAAUCUUUUAAGUUUUUAUGUAGUCAGAUGUAUAAAUCUUUUUUGUUUAUAGUUCCUUAGAUGUUGUGUGAUAGUCACUCAUUUAUUUAUUCCAAAUAUUUAUUGAGAUUGUACCAUGGGUCACAAAGUUCUAGAUACAACAGUGAACAACACAGACCAAGAGCUGCACUAAUGGAGCUUAUAUCAUUAUGGAAUGUUUAGAUUCCAAACAUUGGAUUUUUGGAUUUUUCAAAAGCCAAAUCUAUUGCACUCAAAUUGUUUUUGUUUUACUUAACACAUCACAAACAUCUUCCCGUUGCAAUUAUAGAGAUUUAUCUACUUUUUUUCAUGGUUCUAGUAUUCUUUUUUCAGCACAUAACAUAAAUGUUGUAGUGUGCCUGGGUGGCUCAGUUGGUUAAGCGGCCAACUCUUGGUUUUGGCUCAGGUCAUGUCCUCAGAGCCCUGGGAUACAGCCCUGGGUAGGCUCUGUGUUGGGCAUGGAGCUCAUGCUCAGCUGGGAGUCUGCUUGUAGAUUCACUUUCUCAGUCUUCUUUUGCCCCUCCUCUCUCUCUCUCUCCUCUCUCUCUCUCUCUCUCUUUCUCUCUUAGAUAGAUGAUAGAUACAUCUUUUUUUAAAAAAUUACUUUAUUAAAAAAAUAAUAACAAUAAAAAAUAAAUGUUGCAGCCAGUUCCUUGCUGAGCCCAUACUCAUAAUCAAGGAUCAGCCAACUCUUUAGGGUCAGAUCAUAUAUAUUUUAGUUUUCAUAAACCAUAUUGUUGUAACACAAAAGCAGCCAUCAAUAAUACCUUGAAAAAAUAAGCACAGCUGUAUUCCAGCAAAACUUUAUGGACACUAAAAUUUUAAUUUCACAAAAUUUUCACAUCACAUACAAUAUUUUAUUUACUUCUAUUUUUUCCCAUUUAAAAAUAUAAAAACAAAACAAAACAAAACCCACAGAAACUCAGCCUUAUAAAACAGACAUGAAAACAGAAAGUGGGCUGGAUUUGGCAUGUGGGCCUUAGUUUACUGACCUCUGCUCUAAACCAUUCUAGUGCAUUUCUUCCCAAAGAUCCUCUGAGCUAUGAAUUUCAAUGGCCUCUUAUAGAAUCAGAUUAUGAAACAACGGAGAAUUCCACUGCCAAAGCCAACAGUGGUAAUAAUAAUAGUCACGGUAAUAACAAUAAUAAUAAAUCACAUCUUCAAUUGCAGUAAAGAAAGGGCCGGCCCCAGUCUCUGUUUGUCCUGCAGCACUGGGCAUGACAGUGUAUCCUGCUCUUAGCACAGUGGAGCUCUGGUUGAAUGACUAGAGUGCCAGGUUUACACAAGAAUCAUGCAAUAUGUUCCCUGAGCCCUGGCGCCACUGGGCAUCCCAGAUGCCUUUCACUCAUCAAUCUAUCCACCAAUCCUGUUUUGUUUUUCCACAUUGCACUCAGGGCACCUGACAUUACAUUAUAUAUUUAUAUAUUCACAUGUUUCUUGCUGUCUUCCCCACCAGAAUGAGGGCAGGAACAUUGUCUGCCCUAUUCAUUGUUUAUUCCCAGACCCUAGAACCAGGCUUGGCAUAUGGUGGGUAUUCAAUACACAUUUGUCGGGAUCCCUGGGUGGCGCAGCGGUUUAGCGCCUGCCUUUGGCCCAGGGCGCGAUCCUGGAGAACCAGGAUCGAAUCCCACGUCAGGCUCCCGGUGCAUGGAGCCUGCUUCUCCCUCUGCCUGUGUCUCUGCCUCUCUCUCUCUCUCUCUCUGUGACUAUCAUAAAUAAAUAAAAAUUUAAAAAAAUUAAAAAAAAAUACACAUUUGUCAACUGGAUGAGUCACCUAUCUCCAUAAAUCCCCCACUUGGCAUCAGGUAGGUGGGGUCUGAACUCUCAUAAAUACGGAAAGUCUUACUAUGCAAAUGGAAAUUUCUGCUUCAGAGAGAAUCAGUGAGGACCAGGUUACUAUUAGCCAAAGUCUCUGUACAGCUGUAUAGGUUGAGUAGAAAAGGUAAAUGGGGGUGGGGGUGAGGGGCAGCUCACAGUUUCUUCAUUGUCCUACACUUCUCCCACAACUCAAAGGAUAAAUAAGGUCCAUUUCAAUGACCGAACACCUAAGCACCAAUGAUUAAUGAGUGUAUGCUCAUUCAUACACCAAUGAGUGUAUGCUUUUGACUCUUAAGCUGGAAGAAGCAGUUUCUCUGCUUGGGUACCCAGAGCAAAAGUUUUUUACUUUGACCCAAAGUCAAAAAUAAAGCACUUGCCUACUUCUUGUUCUCAGGCACCAGUUUGGCCAUUUCUGGACCAGUUCAUCAUUAUUGAAACGUUUCUGCGCUAAUGAGGAAUGAGAAUAUGAAAUUUUCAUGGUGGGAAAUAACUUCUGGUUUUUGCAUGUAAUUUAUGGAAGAUGGACUUUUUUUCCAAAAAUAUUUCUAUAUAAUAUUUAUAAUUUAAGUAGAACCCAACUAAAAUUUAAGAAGAAAAUUAAACCUCCUAGAGGAAGCACUACAGAAAACCCUGCGUAAACUUUAUCUAUAUCAGGUUGAAUGCUCCAGAUGGUGGGUAUUGAAGCUGUUACAGUUUUCUCUAUAGUCAUCUGCAAAAUAGUUGUCUAGUUUAAUUAGUUCUUAAGGUCAUGCACAAAAUAAAACAGUCCCCAUCCCCGAAUAUGUUGUGAUUGCCAGGUGUGUAAGAUAGCAGUUAGGUCACUAACUGGGGGUAAAUAUGGGUUCAGGGCACAUACAAGAGGAAUGUUUGGCAAGGUCUUUUCCUACAGAGUGAUUCUAAUCAAGUAGAGAUUGUAGGAAUCUGGGAAAAGAGGCUUUUUGGUCUUACAGUCACACUGGCACACUGAGCAUUAUUUACACUCAUUGUGAAAUUGGUGAGGGGUAGGCUAGCUUAUUAAUCACUAAAGUAAUAUCCAGCUCUAAAACUUUUUCUAAAUUUAAAUACCACCUUAGCACAUUCAGACUUUUCAGUGCCUAUUUUGUGAUGUCAAGAAAAAGCCCCACGUUGUAAAACAAUAAACUUCUUUUCUACUAUAAGUAUUGAAAAGCUCAUUAAGUAUACUUAGAGCACCCACGGUGCACACAGCUAGGUACAGCAGAUAUAGAGAGUAAGACAAAUAAGGAGUUUGUAGUCUAGUACAUUGACCAUUUCUUAUGUCUUUGUCUUCUAUAUGCAUUCUGUAUCUGGUGGAGUAAAAAAACAGGUAAGAACAGAUCCCGUGGGAGCUAUAUGGGACAUAUAAAAUAACCCGGGCUUUGUUGAAAAGCAUUCUUAUUUCCUAUGCAAUUGGCAUGUGGUAAUUAUAUUUGCUUUCUAAUUCCUAAUGAGCACUUCUUAAGUAAUUGGCACCCUGUUCAUGCUCCCCAGUACUAAGAAUUACACUGGAUCACCUCCACGGAAGUGGUGUAUGUGUAAUUUGAUGAACUGGAAGGGUAAGGCAUCCACUGUAAUUGAAAUCAAUUUCCCUCUUGCAUUUAAUAUUGUCACCCUAAGAAGGGGAAAAGAAGUCAUGCAUAAUUAUGAUCAAAAGGGAGUUGCUCAGGCAUUUCAAGGGCUCCUUCAUACAAUGACCCAGAGACGAACUGGAUAAAGUCAUGCUAUUCCCAUGGUGUGGAGCCCAGAAGCCUGCAAUGGAGAACCAACUGCUGAGGUCAGUCCGCUUAAACUCGGCAAACCUAAUCAAACGCCAACCAU
rnacentral:lncRNA from 1 species